rnacentral:rRNA from 1 species
ACGCUGGCGGCGUGCUUAACACAUGCAAGUCGAACGGGAUCGGCUGGAGCUUGCUCCGGCCGUGAGAGUGGCGAACGGGUGAGUAAUGCGUGACCGACCUGCCCCAUACACCGGAAUAGCUCCUGGAAACGGGUGGUAAUGCCGGAUGCUCCAGUUGAUCGCAUGGUCUUCUGGGAAAGCUUUCGCGGUAUGGGAUGGGGUCGCGUCCUAUCAGCUUGACGGCGGGGUAACGGCCCACCGUGGCUUCGACGGGUAGCCGGCCUGAGAGGGCGACCGGCCACAUUGGGACUGAGAUACGGCCCAGACUCCUACGGGAGGCAGCAGUGGGGAAUAUUGCACAAUGGGCGCAAGCCUGAUGCAGCCAUGCCGCGUGUAUGAAGAAGGCCUUCGGGUUGUAAAGUACUUUCAGCGGGGAGGAAGGGAGUAAAGUUAAUACCUUUGCUCAUUGACGUUACCCGCAGAAGAAGCACCGGCUAACUCCGUGCCAGCAGCCGCGGUAAUACGGAGGGUGCAAGCGUUAAUCGGAAUUACUGGGCGUAAAGCGCACGCAGGCGGUUUGUUAAGUCAGAUGUGAAAUCCCCGGGCUCAACCUGGGAACUGCAUCUGAUACUGGCAAGCUUGAGUCUCGUAGAGGGGGGUAGAAUUCCAGGUGUAGCGGUGAAAUGCGUAGAGAUCUGGAGGAAUACCGGUGGCGAAGGCGGCCCCCUGGACGAAGACUGACGCUCAGGUGCGAAAGCGUGGGGAGCAAACAGGAUUAGAUACCCUGGUAGUCCACGCCGUAAACGAUGUCGACUUGGAGGUUGUGCCCUUGAGGCGUGGCUUCCGGAGCUAACGCGUUAAGUCGACCGCCUGGGGAGUACGGCCGCAAGGUUAAAACUCAAAUGAAUUGACGGGGGCCCGCACAAGCGGUGGAGCAUGUGGUUUAAUUCGAUGCAACGCGAAGAACCUUACCUGGUCUUGACAUCCACGGAAGUUUUCAGAGAUGAGAAUGUGCCUUCGGGAACCGUGAGACAGGUGCUGCAUGGCUGUCGUCAGCUCGUGUUGUGAAAUGUUGGGUUAAGUCCCGCAACGAGCGCAACCCUUAUCCUUUGUUGCCAGCGGUCCGGCCGGGAACUCAAAGGAGACUGCCAGUGAUAAACAGAUCGGAAGAG